rnacentral:hammerhead_ribozyme from 1 species
AGCCGAAACGCGGGCACGGAGGUCCGCGUCGCGGCCGGAUGGGUGCCGGCCGCCUGACGAGGCAACCCAAA